rnacentral:rRNA from 1 species
UACGAAGGGUGCAAGCGUUACUCGGAAUUACUGGGCGUAAAGGGUGCGUAGGUGGUUGUUUAAGUCUGCUGUGAAAGCCCCGGGCUCAACCUGGGAAUGGCAGUGGAUACUGGACAGCUAGAGUGCGGUAGAGGGUAGUGGAAUUCCCGGUGUAGCAGUGAAAUGCGUAGAGAUGUGGAGGAACACCGAUGGCGAAGGCAGCCCCCUGGGCUGAGAUUGACGCUCAGGCACGAAAGCGUGGGGAGCAAACAGG